rnacentral:lncRNA from 13 species
AUGUCUUGUUUUCAGAAGCCCAUCGUCAUCAGCGGCAGCAUGGCAAUGUUGACCAUACCUCUUCUGCUCUGUGCGGCCGUUGCUCUGAGUAGCGCAGCAGGCAAGACACACAGAGGCCCUACCUUCACUCUUUUAUUGUGUGACAGUUCUUGUUUCAGAACCUUUAUUGGAGGGAAACAUGGAGCAAACCCCCCCUAUUGUGAGGAUAUGGAUGAUGAGGGAAACACCUUUAAACAGAACCCACCUCUUGCACAGUUCCAGCAACAAUUAUGGAUUGGCCAAAUUCAAAACAGGUGCAGACUUGAGAAAUGCACACACCAAGUCAAGGGGUUGUGGCUUUCUCCAGCAAAGGAUUUGAAAUAAGACCUAACAAAAAUAAAGUAAAUAUCCAAAAAAUGUAAUCAUCAAGAAAGUAAUCAUCAAGUCUAUAUUCUUGGUUUGCUAUGUGUCUUGCCUGCUGCACCAUUCAGACCAAAGGCAGUAGAGAGCAGAAGAGAAAUGGUUGACAUCGCCAUGGGGAUGAUGGGGUCCCAAAUACUAGAUAGAGAGUCAGAGGGAAAUAAUGGCGGAAACAAUCAGAAUUCAGUGAAAAAAAUAAAACAGCAAAGUAAAUGGAUUAUUUAUUGAGUAGAGGACUUACCGGUUGCAUUACGUCACUACAUGACUGUAAGGGUUGCGGAACUGGUGGCAGUGAAGUCAGACUCAGGAGAGCAGAAAUAGGUAAUAGCCGGCCGGAGCAGUUUAAUUUCAAAACCAACGGCAAUAAAAAAAAAUAACCUACAUGGGUACAAAACCUGACGCUCACCAGUAACAUAGUGCACAAGCACUUACAAACAAACAAUUCCACACAAGGACAUGGGGGGAACAGGGGGGUUAAAUACACAAAACUUAAUGAGGGAAAUGGAAACCAGGUGUGUAGGAAAACAAGACAAAACAAAUGGAAAAUGAAAAGUGAUCGACGAUGGCUAGAAGACCGGUGACGCCGAACACCGGCCGAACAAGGAGAGGAAUCAAAUUAAGUGGAAGUCGUGACAAUGACAUACUCACUCGAUCGUCAUUACACACAAAAAAAACUACACGACACACCCAAAGUCUGCCGUCCGCAGAUAGACCCUUCUCCAAAAAUAGCGCAGCAAACUAGGUGAGAAAUCCAUUUUAAUUGAUAAGCUCUAUUUACACACUUGAAAUAAGUACUUAUUUCUUUAUUGGAUCUAAAAUUGGUUUAUUCGGUUGAUAGAGCAUCCCAUGUAAAUAGCUAGCUAGGUAUUAUGGCACCCUAUUACCUUUGAAGGUUUUGUGUAAUUAAAUCUCGUAGCACAUUCAAGUGUCAGUUUUAACAUUUAAUUGAAAGGAUAAUUUAAAAUCACUUGCUGUAGCAUUUGUUGCCAAGUUAUUCCUAUCAGUGGAGGCUCCUCAAAGGAGGAAGGGGAGGACCAUCCUCAGUGAAUUUCAUAAAAAUUGUAAAGCAUUGACAAACUAUACUAAAUAUAUUCACGUCACCAAAUAAUUGAUUAAAACACACUGUUUGCAAUGGUCUACAGUAGCCUAAACAACACUCUGUAGGGUAGCACCAUGGUGUAGCCGAAGGACAGCUAGCUUCCGUCCUCCUCUGGGUACAUUGACUUCAAUACAAAACCUAGGAGGCUCAUGGUUCUCACCCCCUUCCAUAGACUUACACAGUAAUUAUGACAACUUCCAGGUGACGUCCUCUAACCUAUCAGAGCUCUUGCAGCAUGAACUGGCAUGUUGCCCACCCAAUCAAAGGAUCAGAGAAUGAGUACUUAAAGCAUAAGCUACAGCUAGCUAGCACUGCAAUGUGGUGAGUAGUUGACUCAGUGAGAGAAAGACAAUAGUUUUCAACAAAUUAAUUUAUUACAAAAUGAAGGAGAAGCAAGAGAGAGAUUGUGAUUUCUUUUCAGUUCCACUUACUUAGCUAGCAAUUGAAUCUGGCUAGUUUAGCCUACUCCAACAGAGGGAUGCUAUGUUAGCUAGCUGACUAUGAUUCUCCAACUGUCACGGCUGUUGAAAGGAGAGGACCAAGGUGCAGCGUGCUGAGCGUACAUUUUCAUUUAUUAAUCAAAAUGACGCUGAACAAAACAAAUAACACUACAAAAACAAACCGUGAAGCUCAAAGGCUAUGUGCCCUAAACAAAGUCAACUUCCCACAAAGAAAAGAGGGGAAAAAGGGCUUCCUAAGUAUGGUUCCCAAUCAGAGACAACGAUAGACAGCUGUCCCUGAUUGAGAACCAUACCCGGCCAAAACAUAGAAACACCAAAUAAUAGAAAACUAAACAUAGAAUGCCCACCCCAAAUCACACCAUGACCAAACCAAAUAGAGACAUAAAAAGACUCUCUACGGUCAGGGCGUGACACCAACAACACUGGAACUCUUUCAAGUCAAGGUAAGCUUUUGGUUUUAUUAAUUUAUGGCCACCAGUGUAACUACUUACUGACUAUACACUUUAACGUUACAGCAUUAUUGUAGCGGGUUUACUAACAUGUUACUUCUAUUAGCUAUGUUGACUAUGACGUUACUUUAGCUAAUAUGGUGACAAUGAUGUAGGCUGUGUGUGGCGGUUAUGAUGUGGUUUGGAAAGGUUUUUUCUCCUGGUCACGUGUUGUUCAUUGAAGUCCACAAACGAAGGGAAAAGGUGAGAGGAGGAGAGUGCAUAGAGGCUAGAAUGAAUACAACGUUGCUGCUAUGAUCAGGGGUGCAUUCAUUCCACCGAUUCUGUUGAAAAAUGUUUCUUAAACGGAAGCAAAUGAAACGGUGAUAAAAAUACAGGAAUUUAUCCAAUAGAAAUUCUAGUUUGCAACUGUUGGAUUAAUGAUUACACUCUAGAUAAGCUAGACGCAGGCAAGACUGUGCAAGGCAGUAUGAAUGUGUCACUGUCAUCUCAAUAUUUUCUCUCGACCUGUGUGCACCUACGUUGUAAAUGUUCAUUCAUAGGCUAGGUUGUAGCAACCUCAUGAUGGGUACAGGGAAAAUUUGAGUAUCAUGUAGUAGCCUAAACCCAUCAAUUGUACGUUGAACUGGGUGAAUGGAAUAUGAAUGACAGUCAUCCAACAUGCAUGGUGUUAUAGAAAUAAGGCCAUGCUAAUGAAAACAAAAAUGGUCCUCCCUCAUCAUAAACGGCACCGACCCGCACUGAUUCCUAUAAUAUGAGUCAUGGAACAGCAGCAUGAGAAAGCAGCACUAAGUCACUUGGAAUGACUUGUGGGUACAUUUGUUUUUUGUUGCCUCAUGUUAUUGCCUGUGUGGAAGGUGAGGUGCCUUAAUAAGCACCUCUCCAAACCAAUUUUAUGACAGAGUAAAGGUGAUUUCCAAUUAUAGUAAAAAAAUAAGUAAAUACAUAUUAUGAGUAAAUACAUAUUUGAACAUAAAUGGUAAGGCACUUCAAUAAAAUGAACAAACACUCAUUUUCUUGUUUGCCUUGAGGCUGGUCCCAUACACAACAUGCGACAGGAACUCACACCUUGUCUUGAGGAGUGAUUGUGUUAUGUGCGUGAUGAUGUGUCAAUAGAUCACGAGAAGAAUGAUUCUUUCCUUUGUGAGUGAUUAUUAUUUGCUAUGCAAACUAGUAUCGUGUUGGGUUUAACUUGUUAAAAGCUUCAGAAAGUUAAAAGCUUUACCAUUGGCUUCCAUGAUUUGAUGAGCUCAUCAAUGAGUUGAUGAGCUCAUCGUCAGUCAGUCAUUGUUUAUUAGGAUCCCCAUUAGUU